GCGUAACACGUGGGCAACUGCCCCAGAGCGGGGGAUAACACUCCGAAAGGAGUGCUAAUACCGCAUGUGGCGGCUCUCUGCAUGGAGAGUUGGCUAAAGAUUUAUCACUCUGGGAUGGGCCCGCGGCCUAUCAGCUAGUUGGUGGGGUAACGGCCUACCAAGGCUUCGACGGGUAGCUGGUCUGAGAGGACGAUCAGCCGGAUUGGGACUGAGAUACGGCCCAGACUCCUACGGGGGGCAGCAAUUAGGAAUCUUGCGCAAUGGGCGAAAGCCUGACGCAGCGACGUCGCGUGGGGGAUGAAAUCUUUCGGGAUGUAAACUCCUUUUAACGGGGAAGAAGAAUGUGACGGUACCCGUUGAAUAAGCCCCGGCUAACUACGUGCCAGCAGCCGCGG
rnacentral:rRNA from 1 species